UGAUGUAAAGGGCAAACCGAUUGAAAAGUCGGGACGCAAAGCCACCGGUCUAAGGGUAGCAAUACCUAAGACAGCGGAGCCGCCAUU
rnacentral:ncRNA from 1 species